rnacentral:rRNA from 1 species
GAUGAACGCUGGCGGCGUGCUUAACACAUGCCAGUCGAACGAGAAGUGAAGACGGAAACCUUCGGGCGGAAGGCUUUAUUUCUAGUGGCGGACGGGGUAGUAACCCCUUGGUUACCUGCCUCCUACAGGGGGAUAAAAGUUGUAAAAGACUGUUAAUACCGCAUAAGACCACCGCACCGCAUGGUUCGGGGGUAAAAACUCCGGUGGUAUGAGAUGGACCCGCGUUUGAUUAGCCAGUUGGCGGGGUAACGGCCCACCAAAGCGACGAUCGAUAGCCGAUCUGAGAGGAUGACCGGCCACAUUGGGACUGAGACACGGCCCAAACUCCUACGGGAGGCAGCAGUGGGGAAUAUUGCACAAUGGGGGAAAACCUGAUGCAGCGACGCCGCGUGAGUGAAGAAGUAUUUCGGGAUGUAAAGCUCUAUCAGCAGGGAAGAAAAUGACGGUACCUGAGGAAGAAGCCCCGGCUAACUACGUG